UGACCUCAAAUCAGGUAGGAUUACCCGCUGAACUUAAGCAUAUCAAUAAGCGGAGGAAAAGAAACUAACAAGGAUUCCCCUAGUAACUGCGAGUGAAGCGGGAAAAGCUCAAAUUUAAAAUCUGGCAGCCUUUGGCUGUCCGAGUUGUAAUCUAGAGAAGUGCUAUCCGCGCUGGACCGUGUACAAGUCUCCUGGAAUGGAGCGUCAUAGAGGGUGAGAAUCCCGUCUUUGACACGGACUGCCAGGGCUUUGUGAUGUGCUCUCGAAGAGUCGAGUUGUUUGGGAAUGCAGCUCAAAAUGGGUGGUAAAUUCCAUCUAAAGCUAAAUAUUGGCGAGAGACCGAUAGCGAACAAGUACCGUGAGGGAAAGAUGAAAAGAACUUUGGAAAGAGAGUUAAACAGUACGUGAAAUUGCUGAAAGGGAAACGCUUGAAGUCAGUCGCGUUGUCCAGGGAUCAACCUUGCUUUUGCUUGGUGCACUUUCUGGUUGACGGGUCAGCAUCAAUUUUGACCAUUGGAAAAAGAUUAGGGGAAUGUGACGUCUUAGGAUGUGUUAUAGCCCUUGGUUGCAUACAAUGGUUGGGAUUGAGGAACUCAGCACGCCGCAAGGCCGGGUUUUUAACCACGUACGUGCUUAGGA
rnacentral:rRNA from 1 species